CCAAGGAGUCUAACAUGUGCGCGAGUCAUUGGGACCGCAAAACCUAAAGGCGUAAUGAAAGUGAAGGUCGACCUUGCGUCGACUAAGGGAGGAUGGGUUGCGUUACGAUGCAGCCCCGCACUCCCGGGGCGUCUCGUACUCAUUGCGAGUAGAGGCGCACCUAGAGCGUACACGUUGGGACCCGAAAGAUGGUGAACUAUGCCUGGUCAGGACGAAGUCAGGGGAAACCCUGAUGGAGGUCCGUAGCGAUUCUGACGUGCAAAUCGAUCGUCGGAACUGGGUAUAGGGGCGAAAGACUAAUCGAACCAUCUAGUAGCUGGUUCCCUCCGAAGUUUCCCUCAGGAUAGCUGGCACUCGCGUGAGCGAGUCUCAUCUGGUAAAGCGAAUGAUUAGAGGCCUUGGGGCCGAAACGACCUCAACCUAUUCUCAAACUUUAAAUGGGUGAGAUCUCUGGCUUGCUUGAACAGUGAAGCCACGAGAUUUCGGAUCAGAGUGCCAAGUGGGCCAAUUUU
rnacentral:rRNA from 1 species